AUCAUCUCUCGAUAAAACCAAAGACACAAGAAGAUCUUUGCACAAUGGCUUUUAAGAUGAUCAAUCAAAACAUUCUUUUGGGAAUGAUAUGCAUUCUUUUCGUUUUAGCUUCGGUUGCUUCAGGGCGAGCAACAAGUGAUGGAACUGGUUGGAAGUAUUGCUUAAGGCCUGGUGAGGGGAAUUGUCCAGACAACGCUGCUUGUAACAAAUAUUGCUUAAGCCGUCCCUUCCCCGGCGGCGGUUCCUGUAUAGGAAACCAAUGUUGCUGCAAG
rnacentral:sRNA from 1 species